rnacentral:piRNA from 1 species
AAAGAAACUGUUCCUGCUGC